UAAUGUAUGGGGAUCUGCCCGAUAGAGGGGAAUAACUACUGGAAACGGUGGCUAAUACCGCAUAAUGUCUACGGACCAAAGCAGGGGCUCUUCGGACCUUGCACUAUCGGAUGAACCCAUAUGGGAUUAGCUAGUAGGUGGGGUAAAAGCUCACCUAGGCGACGAUCUCUAGCUGGUCUGAGAGGAUGAUCAGCCACACUGGGACUGAGACACGGCCCAG
rnacentral:rRNA from 1 species